rnacentral:rRNA from 1 species
AACGAACGCUGGCGGCAGGCUUAACACAUGCAAGUCGAACGAGAUCUUCAGAUCUAGUGGCAGACGGGUGAGGAACACGUGGGAACAUCCCUUUCAGUUCGGAAUAACGUUGGGAAACUAACGCUAAUACCGGAUACGUCCUUCGGGAGAAAGAUUUAUCGCUGAAAGAUUGGCCCGCGUCUGAUUAGCUAGUUGGUGAGGUAACGGCUCACCAAUGCUACGAUCAGUAGCUGAUCUGAGAGGAUGAUCAGCCACAUUGGGACUGAGACACGGCCCAAACUCCUACGGGAGGCAGCAGUGGGGAAUAUUGGACAAUGGGCGCAAGCCUGAUCCAGCCAUGCCGCGUGAGUGAUGACGGCCUUCGGGUUGUAAAGCUCUUUUGUCCGGGAAGAUAAUGACUGUACCGGAAGAAUAAGCCCCGGCAAACUUCGUGCCAGCCGCCGCGGUAA